UUUUUUUCUGUGUUGGAGUAAUGUACUCAGGUGAAUAUGAUGUUCGAAUCCCACCGUGGUCAGGCAUAUUUUUCAAGCUUGCCCGGUGUGGAUAUACACUCAGAGUAACAUCACAAGCAUCAUAUUCACCUGAGUACAUUACUCCAACACAGAAAAAAAUCAUGAUUAUU